rnacentral:lncRNA from 1 species
AAACUUUCUCCGACCCUAUCUCGGGAUGCUACGGCUCAGGUCGUGGUGGUUUCGGGAACCUCAAGACAACAUUCCCCAGCUGACCUUUGGGAACUUUAACUCGGGUCGUCAUGUACGGAAAGGUAGUCUAUGGGGUACGCAGAAUGGAAAAGGGCUUCCACAUCAGUCGUGUCCGAGGACGCUCUCCAACUUUUGAUGUCCCUGGAGAGUUUCUGAUAUUUCCCUGGAGAGUUUCAGAAAGGAUUUCUUCCGACAGACGUGACCCCAGAAGGCUGCCGAGGGAGACUUUAGGACAAGAGGCGUUGUUUUUUUUCAGCGUGGCCGCAUUUGGAAAAGGCUGAAGGUAGAAAACUCUGGAAUGGAGAGGCUGGCGACUGGAGCAGGAUCCAGGGGCUUUAAAUUUUAACCUGAAUGCGAUCGAAUGCGCGACUCCCAGAAGAGAUAGCCAGGCGUCCGCCCGGCCGCUCAACCCCCGCCAGGACUCGGAAUGCCUUGCUUUUGGUUCUUUUCGUGAGUUCCGACCAAAUGUUUAAGUGGACUGGGUUUUGCAGAAGCUCAUUUGUAAGCACUGACGGAAAUGGGUUGUGGGCAUUUGAUUUCCUUUGAUUCCAACGUUUUGAAAUAAUGUUUCUCGGAUUUGCUAUUCGAAGCAAUUUUCUAAAAACUCAUAUCUUAUUUGCUAAAAAUAAACUCUUUGGCUCAGUUUGUGUCCAGGCUGUGU